rnacentral:misc_RNA from 1 species
AAAUGCGAUAAGUAAUGUGAAUUGCAGAAUUCAGUGAAUCAUCGAAUCUUUGAACGCACAUUGCGCCCCUUGGUAUUCCGAGGGGCAUGCCUGUUCGAGCGUCAUUACACCACUCAAGCUAUGCUUGGUAUUGGGUGCCGUCCUUAUUUGGGCGCGCCUUAAAGACCUCGGCGAGGCCUCACCGGCUUUAGGCGUAGUAGAAUUUAUUCGAACGUCUGUCAAAGGAGAGGACUUCUGCCGACUGAAACCUUUUAUUUUUCUAGGUUGACCUCGGAUCAGGUAGGGAUACCCGCUGAACUUAAGC